rnacentral:rRNA from 1 species
UACGUAGGGGGCAAGCGCUGUCCGGAUUUAUUGGGCGUAAAGAGCUCGUAGGUGGUUCGGUAAGUCGGAUGUGAAAUCUCCAGGCUCAACCUGGAGGGGUCAUUCGAUACUGCCGUGACUAGAGUUCGGUAGGGGAGUGUGGAAUUCCUGGUGGAGCGGUGAAAUGCGCAGAUAUCAGGAGGAAUACCAGUGGCGAAGGCGGCCUUCUGGACGGAUACUGACGCUGAGGCGCGAAAGCCAGGGGAGCAAACGGG